AAUACCACUUCAACAGAGAUCUCCCUGUGAAGGACUUUUAUUGGUUUUAAAACAAACCUUUCCCUCCCUAUCACAGAGCAACAGCUGCCACUACAUCUUCAGUCCUAAUCUGUGCUCCCUUGUAGCGUCUACUCUGACUAGCCACUGGCAAUGUCAACCUCAUGGGUUUUUCUUGUGUCUUUGGCUUGGAUGGAGACACCAAAAUGAGAAUAUCUCAGGAUCAACUCUCCUCCACACGCAGACAAGACAGAACAGUGCACAUAAGGUGCAAGCUGUCUGGGGUUCUUCUCGAGAAGACCGUUGUGCACUGGUAUCAACAAAAAGAAGGGAAGCCCCUGAGACGAAUCCUUUAUGGCUCAGCCAAAAAUUACAAGCAAGACAGGCCCAAUCCCCGCUUGGAGGCAGAUGAUAAACAUGAUGGUAUUUUUUACCUGAUCAUUAAUAACGUUGCCAAGUUGGAUGAAGCCACUUACUACUGUGCCUGCUGGGAUCUCACAAUGUCACAGAGUCAGAAGGGACCUGAAAGAAAACCUUCCUAUGACCACCCUCUGACUGCUUUCAUACUCCUGCAACCACAACAGACUCCUAAAUGCUCUUGUUCAUUGGUUCAUAGGCUGUUUGAACAGGGAGGGCUCUUGGAACAUAUUUAGCCCAAUGUCCCCACUUCAAAUGAGGAAACUUGGGGCACAGAGACAGCAAGUGACUUGUCUCAAGCUAGUUAACCACAGAGGUAGGGCCACACUCUUGCAUUUCAGAUUCUCAGUCCAGUGCCUCUUCCUGCCUCUCUUGUGGUCUGUGUUGAACUUCUUACAGCAGAAUCACAUUUCUUUCAAAAGGGAACUGCGACAACUUCCCUAUGCAUCGUCUUCCUCAGUGGUACCCCUAGGCCCCAGUGAAGUCUGGUAUCGGCCAAACAUGUAACUACCACACUGCUGAGAAGGGGACAAAGGUCAGCAGGGAUGGACUCCACGCUCCAUCUAC